GUGCUAGCUUCGGCAGCACAUAUACUAAAAUUGGAACAAUAUGGAGAAGAUUAGCAUAGCCCCUGCACAAGGAUGACACGCGAAUUCGUGAAGCAUUCCAUAUUUUU
rnacentral:snRNA from 1 species